CCUACGGGAGGCAGCAGUAGGGAAUCUUCCACAAUGGGCGCAAGCCUGAUGGAGCAACACCGCGUGAGUGAAGAAGGGUUUCGGCUCGUAAAGCUCUGUUGUUGGAGAAGAACGUGCGUGAGAGUAACUGUUCACGCAGUGACGGUAUCCAACCAGAAAGUCACGGCUCACUACGUGCCCGCAGCCGCGGUAAUACGUAGGUGGCAAGCGUUAUCCGGAUUUAUUGGGCGUAAAGCGAGUGCAGGCGGUUGCUUAGGUCUGAUGUGAAAGCCUUCGGCUUAACCGAAGAAGUGCAUCGGAAACCGGGCAACUUGAGUGCAGAAGAGGACAGUGGAACUCCAGGUGUAGCGGUGGAAUGCGUAGAUAUAUGGAAGAACACCAGUGGCGAAGGCGGCUGUCUGGUCUGCAACUGACGCUGAGGCUCGAAAGCAUGGGUAGCGAACAGGAUUAGAUACCCCUGUAGUC
rnacentral:rRNA from 1 species